GUAGUAUUCCCUCCGUCCCAAAGUUCUUGUCUUACAUUUGUUUAGAUACAGAUGUAUCUAGCACUAAAAUGUAACUAUAUACAUCCGUAUUUAGACAAAUUUAAGACAAGAAUUUUGGGACGGAGGGAGUACAAA
rnacentral:pre_miRNA from 1 species